rnacentral:rRNA from 1 species
UACGUAGGGAGCGAGCGUUGUCCGGAUUCAUUGGGCGUAAAGAGCUCGUAGGCGGCUUGGUAAGUCGGAUGUGAAACCUCCAGGCUCAACCUGGAGUCGCCAUCCGAUACUGCCAUGGCUAGAGUCCGGUAGGGGCCCACGGAAUUCCUGGUGUAGCGGUGGAAUGCGCAGAUAUCAGGAAGAACACCGAUGGCGAAGGCAGUUCUCUGGGCCGUAACUGACGCUGAGGAGCGAAAGCGUGGGGAGCAAACAGG